UACGUAGGGUGCAAGCGUUUAAUCGGAAUUACUGGGCGUAAAGCGUGCGCAGGCGGUUGUGCAAGACAGAUGUGAAAUCCCCGGGCUCAACCUGGGAAUUGCAUUUGUGACUGCACGGCUAGAGUGUGUCAGAGGGGGGGUAGAAUUCCACGUGUAGCAGUGAAAUGCGUAGAGAUGUGGAGGAACACCGAUGGCGAAGGCAGCCCCCCUGGGUCAAGAUUGACGCUCAUGCACGAAAAGCGUGGGGAGCAAACAGG
rnacentral:rRNA from 1 species